CAUAUCCAAUUCAGCUGAUGCAUUUCGUGGUUUCUCUCCCAGUUCCACCGCAUUAGCUGUUCCCCUCUGGAGG
rnacentral:sRNA from 2 species